rnacentral:rRNA from 1 species
AACGAACGCUGGCGGCAGGCUUAACACAUGCAAGUCGAGCGCCCCGCAAGGGGAGCGGCAGACGGGUGAGUAACGCGUGGGAAUCUACCCAGUUCUACGGAAUAACCCAGGGAAACUUGGACUAAUACCGUAUACGCCCUACGGGGGAAAGAUUUAUCGGAAUUGGAUGAGCCCGCGUUGGAUUAGCUAGUUGGUGGGGUAAUGGCCUACCAAGGCGACGAUCCAUAGCUGGUCUGAGAGGAUGAUCAGCCACACUGGGACUGGGACACGGCCCAGACUCCUACGGGAGGCAGCAGUGGGGAAUAUUGGACAAUGGGCGAAAGCCUGAUCCAGCCAUGCCGCGUGAGUGAUGAAGGCCUUAGGGUUGUAAAGCUCUUUCAGUGGGGAAGAUAAUGACGGUACCCACAGAAGAAGCCCCGGCUAACUUCGUGCCAGCCGCCGCCGUAAGAC